rnacentral:rRNA from 1 species
UAAUACGGAGGAUCCAAGCGUUAUCCGGAUUUAUUGGGUUUAAAGGGUGCGUAGGCGGCGUUGUAAGUCAGUGGUGAAAGUUUUCAGCUUAACUGGAAAAUUGCCAUUGAUACUGCAGUGCUUGAGUACAGAUGAGGUGGGCGGAAUGUGUCAUGUAGCGGUGAAAUGCAUAGAUAUGACACAGAACACCGAUUGCGAAGGCAGCUCACUAAACUGUAACUGACGCUGAGGCACGAAAGCGUGGGGAUCAAACAGGAUUAGAUACCCUGGUAGUCCACGCCCUAAACGAUGAUCACUCGAUGUGUGCGAUAAACGGUACGCGUCCAAGCGAAAGCGUUAAGUGAUCCACCUGGGGAGUACGCCGGCAACGGUG